rnacentral:rRNA from 1 species
CCAAAGCAGAUAAGAAACACCGGUUCUCGUUCGAUCACCGAAGUUAAGCAUCGUAGAGCCAGGUCAGUACUUUGAUGGGGACCGCUUAAACACCUGGUACUGUAAG